UGCUCAAUACUGUUUCUUUCUGAUUCUCUUACUGACAUUUACAUUACUUUGCCUCUUUAGAGUUGCAAAUUAUUUUCUCUGACAAGAAAUGCCAUAUUUUCAUUGUACUGAAAUUUUUUCGUUUCCGGAUCAAUUUUGUUACUAAUAUACUUAUAACUAAAUUUCUUAUUGAUUUUCUCUAUGCAGGUCAUAAAGGGGUGCCUCUCAGAACAUGUCAUAUUUUCAUCAUACUAAAAAAAGUAGCUUAGCUUCCUGGUCAAUUUUGUUAUUAAUCUAUAUAUAACUAUAUUUAUUAUUGUGAGGUGAAAAUAUUCUGAGGAUGCUUUCAGGUAUUUAAAGGUAAGGAUUCAGCUCCUGCUUACACUUUCAUUAGUUCAGUGUGUUCAUUAUCAUAUCAUACCAUCAGCAGAGUCAUUUGUGCUUACUUCCAUAAAUAGUCAUAUAACGAUCAAGUCUGCCCUGUUAUAUCCAAGCCAAUUACAUAUUUAUGCCUUUUCUUGGGAGCAACAUUAAUUUUUUUUAUUGUAUUAUGAGAUUAGUAAUUUGAGAUUUUGCUUUAACUGUUGUAAUUUAAAGGAGGUAGGAAGGAUGAAAGAAACUUGGACAUUUAAUUUUCUUUGAUUUGAAUUGAGCUCGCUCUUAACAUAAAAAAAAUAUAAGUUUUGUAUAUUCUUGUUGUUGUAUACAAUAAUUUAUUAGCAUUACCAAUAGUAAUGGCACCAUGCUAUACCACAUUGCCGCACGCUAGAUCUAACAAGGUUGCCUUGGAGUUCGCCAAAAGGCAGCGGCCACCUCACCAACUUCAUCCUACCCAUAUUUACCACCUCCCCCGCUUUCUAGAUUCACCGUACUUUGGGAUCCCCCCCUCCUGGCGCGGCUGCAGUUUGGGGGCUGGACUUACUACAUGGGCCAAAUGACAAUGGACCAAGCCCAAACAACAGUGAAAAAACAUUCAAAUGAAAUUUAAUAUUAAAAAAACAUCGCCACAAAAAUGAUACCAUUUUAAAAAGAUUCUCAAAUAAUUUAAAAAACACCUUCUCAAAGUGAAACAAGUAUGAUUGAUAAAAAAAGUUCGUAUUUUCGGAUGAAAUGAAAGUGCGGAGCUGAAAUAGGUAACAAGAACAUUGUUAGGAUACGUCCAAAUUUCAUCGUACAAAAAGAAAUACUUAGUGUAAUCCUAUUUAUAAUGUUUGCAAAAAUUGGAAUAAAUAAUGUUGCACAAUGGGAUGUUGAACAUGUUAUUAUUUUGGAAGAUAUUUAAGUCAAACAAAUGGUUUUUUAAAUUAUACGUAUCUUUUAAACCGUAACUCCGAUUUUAACAUGUUAUAUAUGAAACUUGAUUAGAAAAAUGUGUGAAAUCUGAAUAUGAUGUUAAUUUUACCUGUUAAAUAUUUUUUAGAUAUUGUUUUGGAAGCAAACUUAUAACUAUAGCACACGAUCCAUUUUUCUUUCGUACAGGCGGCGAUCUGGAUUACAAAUAAACACUCACUAUAGUCAUAUAGGAAAAAAGAAAACAUCGAGAGCUACACAUGCAUACCUCUGAAUACAUCGUAGGGGAAAACAACCGAUUUCUCAUCGCGAGUGUGAGAGAAAGCGAGAGAGAGAAAGAGGGAGACGGAGGAGAGAGGGAGAGAGAGACGUCUUAGGAUUAACCACAUUCAAACACGUUUUGGUUUAUGUGAACACUAAGGCCAUCGCCGGCGAAGGUGAUAAGAAGGUUAAGCGGCAACACAAAUAUGAUGCGUCGCUAAAAUAAAGGAGAUUGACCUAUUAUGGUCUUGAGUGAUGGUUGUUCAGUUAAGAGUGUGUUGUGUUUUUUCUCCCGUUGCAACGCACGGGCUCUUUUGCUAGUCUCUCCCUAAUAAUAAAGCACGGAUCGACUUUGUCGGGUUCACCGUCACAAUACGCUUCUUCCCGUGAAUUUACGUUUUCAGUUUAAAUUUUAAAUAUAUACGCGAGGUGGUACUAAUGCUUCUGCUCGUACCACGUCGCUAUCGUUAAUUUUAUUUAAUGACGUCGCUAUGUUGGGCUUCCGCCUGAAUCUGUACGUCGCUUUGCUGGGCCUCCGUAUGGGCCAGAGUAGGCACGUGCGUCGCGUCCGACCACGUCCAUCCCGAUCUCCUCCCUUGAUCCAGGGCGUUUCCUUUAGGUCAUUGUCGGAAUGCCAAAAAAAAUUGCGAAUGUCUGGAUUCGAACUCGGGUUGUCUAGGAAAGAGCACGUAGCCGCUAGCCAACUCCCAAGGCUGAUGUUUCUUGCAACAAAAAGAAACUCUUUUUUCUUUCUAUGCAACUCUCAAAGCCUGGGCCAUGCGCCUAUCUCAAUUGCUCCUUUUGUCCCUCAUCUGUUUUGUCCUUCGCAUGGGCCGAGCUGGGCCUGGUCUAAAAAAAGAAACGACGUUCAUUGUCAAACUAAUUAAUCCCACCUUUCCCCUUUCAAUUAAAGUGCACUAAUUUAUAUAGGCCUGUGAGUUUUACUACAUCACCAAGCAGCCUUGGGUCGAUUGAGGAAGGAUGAGAUGAGGCCAAUUACACGAGAAAUAAAAAGAAGGAAAGAGAAGCAAGGUCACAGAAAUAAGGAAGGAAAGGGAGGGAAAGAUAAAAGGAAAGAGUAGGCCUUCUAUAUAUGUGCUCAGGACAGAAAUUAGGAAGGAGAUGAAUUCAGGAAGAAAAGGGAGGGAAAGAUAAAAGGAAAGAUAAAUGAUGGAAGGGAGGCUGGUUCACAUACUCAGACUUUGUGUUGAAGGGUCUUUUAUUUUUUCCACUUCCUUGACGUUCUUUUCAAGUCAUCAUUGUUGCUUCCUGCACCAAACAAAUUUAUUCAUGGGAUAAAUGUAAUAGUGUUCUAUAGUACAAACUUAGAUACGCUGGUUGAAACCGGCGCAACGAACUAGCGGUGCUAUGUAGCAAUCAAUAUUAGCUAAAUUAUGAGCAACUUUAUUUUUAUUACGCUCAAUUUUCAACGGAACCAACCCAUGCAGAUCGAGGAGCUUCUUCAUCACCACAAUAAAAAUGACCCCAAUGAAACAAACAUAUGUUGCCUCGCCGCAAUUGCUCUUUUGCUUGUGAGCUUUGGGAGGCCCUCUGCCAUAUGGAUGUAGAUGAUCAAGAAGAGUUCAAAAAAACCAUCUCAUUUUUUUCAGAAAAUUAAAAGUGUUUUUUGUCACCUGAAACUUGGUUAGGGCAUGUACAAUGCAGGCGCUAGGAAUAAAAUCCUGGCAACUUUUGCAUCGUCCCGGCUACUUUCGGCCUCAGACACAUAACCUAGAGUCGGACACUAAAAAAAGUAUACACAAUGUAGCUGCUAGGGUUGUAUGAUUGUGCAUGUUAAUUUGCUCAAGAUUUUAAACGCUCUUGCAUUGGAGCCGGCCUUAGGGUGAUAUUUUUAACCUUGUCAUGUGUUGGUCAUUAGCUAUUAAUGAUGUUCGUGUAUGAUAACUGAUUCCGCAUGAGCUUGUCAGUUAAUGCUAGCCUACAUAGACAGUGUGUUAUGUUGUGGAUCAGCUCAUCAUCUUGAGAUUGAUCACAUUUGGGUGCAUUGUGAUCACAUAGACAUCACAACUAUCUCGGACAAGCGCGGGGAAGAGGAUAAGGUGCGAAAAGGCAAGGGGUGUUUGAUAUUGAUUUUCACCCGUUGCAACGCACGGGCCUUUUUGCUAGUAAUAAUAAAGCACAGAUUGACUAUGGGUUCACCGUCACAAUACGCUUCUUCCCGUGAAUUUACGUUUUCAGUUUGAUUUUAAAACAUAUAGGCGAGGUGGUACUAAUUUGGGGAACCGUCUGUAGUUUCGGGCCAUAUCCGAUGUUUUGUUUUCUGCCUGUACGUCAAAUUCACACGUAAAUCCAAUUUGGCCCAACAAAGAAUCCAGCCAGCCCUGAGUUUCUUUCACGGCACGCACCUCCUUCCCGUCCUUCCCUAAAAAAAUAACUCCUCCCGUCCUGAAAAGGCACUAGCCGCCUCCCCAACCCCAACUCGUCGAAACCCCAGCACCCCAUGACCUGAUCGAUCACCGAUGGCGUUCGGCGAGGUCAUGUCCUAGGCCUCAUCCUCGGCCGCCCUGACAGCGGAUCGAAUCAGCGUAGUUGGCGCGUGGGACGGCUCCCUGGAGGUGUACCUGGGCGCCUGGACGGGGCUGAUGCUGUGCGCCGAGGUGGUGCGGCGGGCCGGGGUCCUGGCGCAUGCCGUGGCGAGCUAAUCUCAACGUGAUGCUGCUCACUAGCGCGGCAUCAUGCCACCUGGCCGGUGCUGCAGCGACGUGGUUAAGAGGGACGUGGAUGAGGCAGAGUCUACGCUCGGCGGCGCAGAGAUCUGGAGGAUACAUGAUUCUGUGGACACAGCGGCGGCGUGGCCCCGUGGAGCGGCAUGUUGAUUUUCUUGGGGGUAGGUUUUUGCUGUUGGUGACCUUUUAAGAAAUUUAAGAGAUCCAGUGCAGGGAGAGAUGCUAUUGAGUUGGAAGACCAGGUGGAUUUGAAGCUCAUUGGUCAACAUUCAGUCAAAUUUCAUGUUGAACAGGUACGUCCAUGAUGAUCUGGUGCUUCUAAUCUUUCUUGCCUAUAGUUUAGAUCUUAAGCCUCUCUUACUUUGUCCAAUAUAGUUAGUCUGCAUAUGAGAACACACGUAUGUCAAUGGAUAAGCAAUUGAUCUCUAAUCAAUCAAGGUUUGCAAACUCAUCCAGAUCUCAAUCUUAAUGGUUCAAGAAUCAACAUUUACACUUUAAAGUGUAUUCAUUGACCAAUUCUUUUUGAAAUAUGCAUCGGGGCCAUCGAAGGCAAGAUGCUUAUGUUAUGUUUUUAUUCUGAUGACAACUCAUCUUCUUUGCCUGUUGGUAGCUGCUCAUGAGAAACUAGGAUAUAUUUUUACUGCUUUAGAUGCAAGCAUCUUCUUUUCCAUGGGCCUGCAGGGAUUUGUUUGGAAAUUAAGUUGAAGUUAACGACAUUUGUUGUUCUGCAUGGGCAGGGAUGCAGAGUAAUAAAUAUUUCUAAUAUAAGUACAUCGGCCAUUUAACUAUCUCUACUAUUAAAGAGGGAUCGAACGUCGUGAUGGUUCGACCUCCUCUCGUGGUUCAACCCCCUUCUAUCGCUAGCUAUCGAAAGUCCUCCCACCGCUUCUUCCAUCCCCGCCCGAAAAAAAAGGCCAAAAAAAAAAAACCACAACCCACGAACGCACGAUCCCACACCCACGCAGCCUCGUCGCCUCUCGCACCCCAUGGCACCCGAUCCCGUCUCUCUCCCGGCUCCUGAGAAAAAAUGUCUCCUGCUGUCGCCUCCUCAUCCGCCCCGCGGUCGCGGUCCUGGCCGUCGGCGCUAGGAUCCAGAGUCCCAUGAAGAAAUUCUCUACUCCUCCCUCUUAUCUGUACCACUCUAGAUCGCGUCCAACCAACGGCGAGCUUGGCGACAGCGCAGAAGGAGAGCGUCAGUAUGUCGGCGCUAGAGUACUAACCCUGGGGGUGGUGUGCCCCUAUCCCGACCCCCUGCUGCGAUCUUGAGAGCCAUCAUGCCGUCGGCGCCCAUCGCGAACAAUUAAGGCUCCUCCGUUGGGGUAGUGGUUGCAGAGGCUGGUGAAGAGCCUCAGCCGUGAUGAGGAUGAUGACGCACAGCGGGGGCGGGAGCAGAACCACGGGGAGGGUUCCAAGGAGCCGCUAGCCGGGGGCGGAGCGCGAGCACGGGUACGGGUCCGAGAGCCGCUGGCUGCCCACGAAGACAUCGUGGCGGUGCUCCAUGGUGCGAACGAGCUAGAUGAGGCGGCGGCAGUCCCCCAUGGAUGAUGUGAGGGCGUGGUAUGGGGAUGGAUUUUGGGGGAUCUAGCUGCUGAUUGGUUCAUCCACUAACUGAAACUGAUUAUAGUUUAUCUCUAGUUUGUGUUUCUCUGUGGUACACUCGUGUUGCAAUUGGCAGGACCAAAUUGGCAGCGACAAAGCACGAGCUACCAACCUUCUCUGCUCCCCUGCUACAACAAGGUACCAAAUUGAAGCUGUCACCGCGACCCCAAUCCCCUCUCACGUGCAGUAUGAUGGACACCCACAAGGCUGAGAAGUCAGCGCAACAGAGCUUAUGCAGGCGGACGCUAAUCCGCAAUCAAGAGAAGAUGACUGGCUGGUGCAGUGCUGAUGGGAGGUAGAUGACCACGGUGGAGAUGGUGGAGAGGAGCAGAAAAUGCAUGGUAAACUUGCUCCAUUGUGCUUGCACUCAAGGGGCAUCUAUGCCAACAGCGUCACGUGUGUCUAAAAAAGCAGGGGGCUGGGGGAAACCAAUCAACAGGUGAGUUAGAUCCUUUUUAGUUUCAGGCCACCAUUUUAGGGCAGAGAAGAGUAGCAAAACUCAUGGUAUUGUUGCUGUUAACAGAAACAUGCAUUUUUUUGUUAAUAUUUGUACGCACUAACGAUUGCAUGUUUUUUUUGUGCCAUCCUAAUGUAAGAACUGAAGCAAUAGCCCCUUUCAUGUUCUAUUUUUCUCUUUUCAAAUAUCACAUUUUCUAUCAGCGUACAUAUAUAUGCAACGUGUGGUUAUUACAAUUAUUACAGGUUGUUUGGUUAUUAGCUAGCAAUCUGUGGUAGUAAUUGCACUUCUGCCAAGUACAGGGUAAUGGCUAGAACAAGCAUCAAUUGUGUAAAUUAUUGAUCAAUCUUGUCUGGUCGUAGGGUUCCUAAUCGACGUUAUCAGGUAUCUUAUUCUGUCGCCUCUGCUUACUUUCACCCUAAGCGAGAAGAUUACCUCAAAAAUUAUUCCAGUAUUGUAGAGCUUCUUAUAUUUUUCUUCCUUUGGGCAUAGACAAGCAUUCACAAUGAAUACUAUUAUAUGGAGUACAUGUCUGCAGUUAGGAUGGAUCAUCUGGUUAGUAGACAAAAGUUCUGGUUUCAGUGUUAAUUUCCUAAGUGUAUCAUCAUUAUCGAUGAUUGGUUACCAAAGGGCACCCCUCUUUUGUACUCACAUGAUUAUCUUAAUGCAAAGAAUUUUAUUUUUUCAAAUGAGCCACAGAGCCAAAUGAAAAUUCCAUGAACGAAUUGAGGGUGGAAAAUGUCAACCUUAUUUCUCCAGGGGAUGGAGUGGAGAUUGAGAAACAUAGCUAGAUGGGAGAAACGGGAAAACUUUGAUAAAUUGUUGUAUGGAAACAUAGCUAGAUGUACAUACAUUUACCCCAUGGACAAUUGAGAAACAUAGCUAGAUGGGAGAAACGAUGACAAGUAUAUUGUAUGGAAAAGAAAACAUAAGCCAAUAUUUUAUGGGAAUGGUGCUCUAAGCAGAGAGGUUGUUAGGGCUACGGGAGGGUGACGACCCUCUCUUGAACUGAUGAUGAGGGAGAGCAAGGCUGAUUGUGCAUUCAACGAUGAUGGUGAGACAACUAGCGCUUCAUAAAAAUAUCAUGUUCGGAAUCUUUGGCCAGAUCGGCUGUGACUGCAUUUUAGCGAUGGACCUUUGUUGUAUUUCAGUUUCCUCAUACUGUUAUCGCAAUAUAGUAAUAUGCUCUUUUGCAGCAAGUGCAAAUGGUUAUAUGUUUGAAUCAUCAACUAGCAUGUCAAGAAUGUGAGAAGUCAGUGGGAACAAAAAACUAUCAUUUGUGAUAGUUGUUGGAUUGAAUAGCCAUUUCAUUAUAGGUAUGCUUCCGAUUUGCACUACUUUUUAUUAAUCCUUUUCUCUUUCAUGAAAAUUUGCAAAUCAGUAACACACAAUGUGCUUCUUAUAUUACUUUAUUUUCUCAUGUAGGUAAAUGCUCCUUCGCCAAGUAUAAGUAUACAAUUUGAAUCUUUUAGUCACGAUUUGUAUGAUGCCUUAUACACAUUUAUGUUAUAUACAGUUGUAGCUGAAUUUUUAGAUGAUAUACUGAACUAUAUGCUAGGGCAAGGAAGCUAGGGACGAAAAAAGGGAAGUUACUGUACUAGAGGACCAUAGGAAUGUGAUAUUUGACGAAACACUAAAAAAUCUGAGCCAUGCAGCUUUGGUGCAGUGUCUAGAAGACAUAAUGGUUAGAAAUCAGUUCGCACAUCUAAAGGUGAGGAAAUCUCACAUUUAUCAAUUUAUGGAAGGGGGCAGAUAUUUGCAUUUAAAUGUUUUUUCUCAGUAUAGGAAUAAUAAGGGUGAUGUAGCAUUGUAGUUUCAAAUGAAGUAAUGUUAUACUCCCUCUGUAAAGAAAUAUAAGACUGUUUAGAUUAUUGCCUAUUAUUUGAUCUGUCAUUUUCUGUGAAAUAGUACUUCAUUAUGAUUCGCUACAUAUUGAAUUUUCUUGGUGUUAAUAUUAUGUUUGUAAAGAAGUGUGAUCACUAUAUGGUCUACUGAUUUGAACUAUAAUCAGUUUUACCUUACCAGAUUUAGGUUUUGACAGCUGGAAAGUUGCCACAUGAGUUCAAGUCGCGUGAGGGUUAAAUUAAGUGCACAUAUUUUCAUCUCCAUGAGUUUCAUCUGACAAGUGGCAACAGGUUGGGUUCACAUUUUAUAACGUUGUCUUCGUAAUUUCUUGCAGAUGGUAGAGCAAAAUCAAUGAGAAGCCGUGUUGAAUGCUAUUUUGACUAGCCGCAGAAAGAAAAGGAAAGGACAACUUGUUGUAAACCUGCAGAUACAAUAUCUGGAAAAUUAGGAUUAACUCUCCACCAGUAUUAUUUAUCCAUUUGGUUAGUCAUUAUCAUGCGAUCGGUAUAGAGCCACCAGAUAUGUUUUUCAAGGUUUGUUCUUUUAUAGCUGUAUCUUCUUGCACACAACCACUUCUUUAAAGGGCUUAGCUUAAGCUGAUUGGUUUCUUGUAUGAACAUUAGGAUUUUACAACAUUAGAUUCAAUUCUAUGACGGAGCUUUUGCCCAUAGAAGAUGCUUAAGCAGUAGGUUUUGUACAUUUUUUCAUCCUCUCAUGUAACUGUAUAUAAUAUUCAAUUCUACUAUGAAUACUGGGUACUACAAUUUGUAUUUACGUAUUUUUGUAUUGAGACUUGCACUCAAA